UGCAUACUGAGUCAAUAAAUUCGUGUUUCAUGUCAACAAGUAUUUUCACGAAACAAUAACAUAACAUAAAACGUCCACCGACAUGCCGUGGUCAUGCUCUCAGAUGCUACUGUGAAGUCAUUUUCGGCCACUGGCGAGGCCAGCUCAGUUAUUAGGCGGCCACUGGCGGGGCUGGCUCAGUCAUUCUCGGCUACUGGUAAGGCCGGCUCAGUUGCAUUUGAUCAGUAGCUCUUAAGAGUUCGUAGACAAUCCUUCUUAUAGGUAGUACCUCAUGGAUGCUAUAGCGAAUUCAUUAUCAGUCACUGGUUGGGCCUGUUCNNNNNNNNNNNNNCCACUGGCGGGGCCGGCUCAGUCAUUAUCGGCCACUGGCAAGGCCGGCUCAGUUGCAUUCGACCCGUAGCAUCAAGAGUCCUUAGGUACCCCUUGCAAGAUGUGCAUAUCGCUAGAUGCAAUUCAUCAUCAUUCUUUACACUUGUAACACAAUUAUACUAAUGACAAUCAUGAUAAUGUAAUCCAAUUCAUCUUGCAUGCAUAAUAAAAUCUGCCUAAGCAUAAUGUAUGCACAAUCAUAAAUUGUGUGACUGACCCUCAGUCACUGGUUGGGCCUGUUCAGUUAUUAGUCAGCAUGCCACUCAUAUACAAGAUUCAUAAUUCAUAUCUUAGGAUAUAAUAUAAUCCAAUUAUUUCGUAGGCAUAAUGGAAUCUGCAUAAGCAUAAAGCAUACAUAAUCAUAACUUGUAAAACAUGCCACAUACAUUCCUAGUUCAUAACUCAUAAUUUAGGGUACAUGAUCUACAAUACAAUUAUGACAGGUUAAUUUCAUGCAUGAUCCAUAGAAGAUUAGGGCAGGUUACUUACAUGAUUCCGAAGGAGAUUGCAGUAUCCCGUGCUCCGGUGCCUCCACUCCAACACCUCCUCUUCCGGUUCACAGGUUCCUG
rnacentral:lncRNA from 1 species